AGCAGCCGCGGUAAUUCCAGCUCCAAUAGCGUAUAUUAAAGUUGUUGCAGUUAAAAAGCUCGUAGUUGAAUUUCGGGGUUCUACCGUUGGUCGGGCAAUAGUCUGUACUGGCGUGUGGAAUUUCUACCUUCUGGGGAACCAUCAUGUUAUUUAUUUAGCGUGGUGGGAAACCAGGACCUUUACCCUGAAAAAAUUAGAGUGUUCAAAGCAGGCUUACGUCUGAAUACAUUAGCAUGGAAUAAUAAAAUAGGACGGUGGUCCUGUUUUGUUGGUUUCUGAAUCACCGUAAUGAUUAAUAGGGAUAGUUGGGGGCAUUAGUAUUCAAUUGUCAGAGGUGAAAUUCUUGGAUUUAUUGAAGACUAACUUCUGCGAAAGCAUUUGCCAAGGAUGUUUUCAUUAAUCAAGAACGAAAGUUAGGGGAUCGAAGACGAUCAGAUACCGUCGUAGUCUUAACCAUAAACUAUGCCGACUAGGGAUCGGACGAUGUUAAUUUUUCUUGACUCGUUCGGCGCCUUACGGG
rnacentral:rRNA from 1 species